rnacentral:rRNA from 1 species
CCUACGGGAGGCAGCAGUGGGGAAUCUUGCGCAAUGGGCGAAAGCCUGACGCAGCCAUGCCGCGUGAAUGAUGAAGGUCUUAGGAUUGUAAAAAUUCUUUCACCGGGGACGAUAAUGACGGUACCCGGAGAAGAAGCCCCGGCUAACUUCGUGCCAGCAGCCGCGGUAAUACGAAGGGGGGCUAGCGUUGCUCGGAAUUACUGGGCGUAAAGGGAGCGUAGGCGGAUAGUUUAGUCAGAGGUGAAAGCCCAGGGCUCAACCUUGGAAUUGCCUUUGAUACUGGCUAUCUUGAGUGUGGGAGAGGUUAGCGGAACUCCGAGUGUAGAGGUGAAAUUCGUAGAUAUUCGGAAGAACACCAGUGGCGAAGGCGGCUAACUGGCCCAUUACUGACGCUGAGGCUCGAAAGCGUGGGGAGCAAACAGGAUUAGAUACCCUGGUAGUCCACGCCGUAAACGAUGAGUGCUAGUUGUCGGCAUGCAUGCAUGUCGGUGACGCAGCUACG